UGACUUAUAUCUUUCAAAUUAGUUCUGAAUACUUUAAACCCGCCCCAACUAAUGCGUGACAGCACAUUCCUACAUUUCUAUUGGAGACUCCGCUUGCGAGAUUUAAAACGAGAUUACAAUCAGGAUGGAGGCUUGUUAACGGGAUUUAAAGCUGUAUUACAGUUAAACCAUGGAGGAUUUAAAACAAAAUUGUGGCGAAAUAUACAAAAAUGCAUACACACAAGAACCCCAGAAGAAUGUGCCCGUGACCAUAGGGAUUUCGUUGUGGAAGACAGCAAAGGAAAGAAGUGGAAUUGCAGUACGAGGAGAUGUGUAACCACAUGAGCACAAUCCAGAGACGCACACUUUGUAUAGUGACUCAAGCAAUUUCGUCUGAAUUCUGUUGCCAUGUCAACUUUCUGUUUAGAACUCGGGUGUCGACAGCAGAUGCCAAUAACAGCAGUAAAGCCCAUGGUCUGCUACCCCAGCCAGCACAGUUCAUACAUUUACAAUGUACAUAUACUGUAGAGCAAAUAAGAUCAAUUACAAAGUGCAGUACUUUAGAACUAGGCACAUAUGCUAAAUGACCAUCAAAUCAAACACUUCUAACACAAAAAUGAGUUUUUGCAUGCCUAGCUGUUUCAAUUUAAAAGACCUAGGUUUUUAAAAAGAAUCUCAUGUUGUUCAAAUAUGAAACUGGGGUUGUUCCAUCUGGAGUUGUAAUGGAUCUCCUCCUAGCAGCGGAUGAGUUAAUAAUACUGACAUUAGCAUAAGACCAGUACUUGCCUCUCGACUACAAAGCUUGCUCUUUAGUUGAAUGGUAAGAAGUUUCACCUUAAAUUUACAUUCAAUUCAAUGGGCUAAGGCACCAGUUCAUAACACAGUCUACAGACCAAUCUGUAACAUUACACUUAAGUCCAAGAUUGUAUGUUUUUAUGCAAUGCUAUUUUUAAAUAAAUUCACUGAUCUACAGUGUCUCGCCUCACUAUCAUUUAUUCAUAG